GGUCACAGUUGCCAAGGGUCUACAACUAAUGCAGGAAGAAACUCGACUUCAUCUGCAAAACCCACAGUAUAACCUGAUAAGAUCGCAGUCAUAGAUAUACUGGGGACCAGGAUAUCCUCAAGAAGAAUUAUUGGUGAAAUUAUUAAGGCCACUCCACGUAGUUAAAAGGAGAUUUAUUUAAUGGCGUAACUUACAAAUUAAGGAAUAGGUAGGUCGCGGAGUCUGGGGAAGGCGUUCACAGUCCAGCGGUGUUCUCUGGAGCUCUGCUCGGUCCACCUCCACUAUCCAGGGUCCCGCAACAGAGAGAGCGCCCGCCGAUCCAGAUCUUGGGUCCCCAGGCGCCUCCCUUGGCCCCGCCUUGUAGGCGUGACAGUUGCCGAAGUCUCAAUGGGGGUUGGAACUUCCAGAUCAAAGCUGGAAUGGCUACCCACUACAAAGAAUAUUUGUUUUGUUUUGUUUUUCAUUUUCCAGUAUUUUUACUUAAUUUUUUAUUAUUAUCACUGGAAGAAUUAUUGUGGCUUAAUUUACUCCAUUCUUAUCAGAAUUGGCAGCCUUGGGUCUUUAUAUUUUUAUAUUUGCCUGUUUACUUCAUUUAUCUGUCACCUCACAAAGAGUGUAGUCUAUUAAAUCUAGCUUUGAUUCUCAGCUCUGCUGUUAGUAACUGAAUUGUUUCAGAUUUCUGGUCAUCAAUGUUCCCAGUAAAUAGCAGAAAUAGUAAUUUGUACUUUUAGAAUUUCCUUUAGAUGUUAAAGGUGAAAGUAUAUAUAGAACGUGGGCAUGGGAUCCAGAAUCAGUUGGUUUUCAUAUUCCCUUUAUGACCAUAAUUACCCUAAAGGUUGGAAGGUUGGAUAUUGGUAUUUGGGAUGACUUACCCAGGAUUGUGCUUCUGGGUAUCCAUAAUACAGAUCCAUUAAGUUGAUUUUGUGAGGCGAGUUUGUGCCUUCAGAUCUUCUAGUUUCAAUAAAUCCUGUAUGGGGGGAAAAACUGCUUGAUUGUCAUUCACAGAAGCAGCAUUGUAAGAAAUAUUAAUCACAGCACCAGGGUUCUGGGCAAUGUCCUUUUCUUUUUUGAGUGCACUUAAAUCAAGCCAGGAGAUACAACUGGACUUUCUUCCUAUCAAAUAUGAAUGAGUCUAUUGAAUUUUUUUUUCUUUUAAGGCAGACAAUCUAUUCAGGAACAGUUGUCUGGCUUAGUAAAAUAAAUAGCAUUUGUGUAUAUGGUCUAUAUAGAAUGUUAUUUUUUUAUAUAUAUUUUUAAAACAUCCAGUAUGGAAUGAUCUGUUCUAGCCUCAAGAGUUUAGCUGUGACUCAAAACUGAAUGAUUUGUGUAUUGAGCAGACAUGUUAUUUCAAAAAUGGUCUAUUGAUUGGGCUUUCCUGUGAAUCAUUAACAUCUAUAUCUGACCAGCUGUUAGAUGUAUGUUUUGAAUGUGUGUGUCUCUUGCUUUGUGUUACAUUUAAGCUGUAUACUGAAAUUUUGUGUGUGGUUUCAAACGCAUUUUGCUAUAGUAGAAUCAAUUUCAUGCUGAUGAUGAAAGGAGAAACUGGUUGAAGUUACAUUAGCUGUGUCUCUCUGGUAAACAUUUCACAGUUGCUAUUCACAUUUAUGCCUGUUCAAAUAGAAACCCAUCAAUCAUGUAAACCUAGGGCGAGAAUCUGAUCUCUAAUGCAUAGCAUAAAUUGCCACAUACUCUUCUCUUCCAAGAAAAGAAUGUGCAGUAACAUUUCAGAUUAAAAUCUGUCCUUUCCAAUUGAUUUUAUUGUUACUGAAAAAGCAAAAUGCAGUAUCAUGUAAGGAAAUAAAAUAAUUCCUGUCAGGGCAUCGUUUUGUACAAAUCAAAUGUUCAUAUAUUUCUAUAAUCAUAGCUCUAGAGAAAUUUUUUUAAUUACUUGUGCAUUUUAAGAUGAAUUACUUUACCUUGUAUAGCCAUAUAUGCUAAUUUGAAUUGUAGAAAGCUAUAUUAUAGUAAAGAUAACCUAAAAUUAUGGCACAAAAAGUAAACAAAGCCUAUUUGCAUAGCACAUGAGAGUUAUAAAUUUUAUAUUUUAUGUAAUUAUAAGAUAUAUUUAAUAAUGGUUUAUGACAGUUGGAACUUUUUAUUAAAAUUGAACCAAAAUAAAAUGUUUACAAUUAUAAAACAAUUUGGGUAUUUGUGUAUUUUUAAUUAUAGGAUAAUUGGCAGAAGAGUUGAACGUAAAUUUUUAUUGAAAUUCUCAUCUAAAAAAAUUCAGUUUAUUCACACUAGCAGUUUUUGAUAAUGUUUAUUAAGAGCUGUUUAUGAAGCUGAGCUUAUUGAUUCACCCCUGACUCUCAACACUUAGGAGGCAAAGACGAGCAGAUAUCUGUGUUCCAGGCUAGGCUUUCUAAUAAGACCUUGUGUCAAAGAAAGAAAAAAAAAAAGAACUUGUUAUUAACAAAGUACCAAAUAGGUAUUUUUAAGAUUGCCAAAAAUAAAUCUUGUCCAGUCUUGCCUCAGAGUAUGAGGUUUUAUAGGAGGAACAAAAGCUCAUGGGUAUAUGCAUAGUAGGUCAACAUUGGAAGCAUAGUUUUCAACCCAAAGAUGCCCAGGAAGAACACUUGUAGCUAUCAGUCUGUAAUUAUGUAUCAGAAUUACAGGUGACCUUCAAGGGAGUCUACUAUCAUUCCAAAUAUUAGAUUAAUUUUGAAAGAAGGGGUAAAUAUUUUCUUACACCUGGGAAUGGAGGGCAGGCUGUUGUGUAGUAUGAGUCUUCAACUAGUACAUGAACUGUUUCUCUAGGUAAGCCAGUUAUUUUAGAAUUAUUCUGAUUUUGUCUGAGUUCUACCAUUUUUGUAGCCUUGAGUAAAAUAUAUUUCUUUAAAUUCCAGGUUCUUCAUCUACAAAACAUAGAGUUAAUAUUUCUCUGACUAGUUUUUUGUGAAAAGUGAAUGAGGUAAUGGAUGAAACGAUUGUGUUUAUAUACUGACUUUAAUACUUUAGGUUAUAGAACAUAGUUUUAGUAACUAUUCCUAUUGCUACUUCUUGUACUAAGAAAGGAUGGGUGGAAAUAGACUUUCAUGACAUACUAAUAAUAAAACCACAAUACUGUAUUUACUUUAGAAUAAAUAGAAGAGUCACUGUACCCAACAAGAAAUGGAAAGUACUUUUUUCAAUCCAUAUUAUUUAUUUUUUAUUAAGGAAAAUGUGUUGUGAUUUAUAAAUAAAAUUAACUUGGUGUUUAAUCUCA